rnacentral:lncRNA from 1 species
UAAUUGAGUUUAAGAGCCAGUCUGUGAUAAAACCAUGCAAAAUGGUCCAAAUCCAAAAUAUUCCAAUCAGACUGAUAUUUUGUAUUUUAGAUACCUUAUAUGUAAUAACUAUUUGUGCAAAAUAUUUUGAAAAAAUAUUCAGCCAUUAUUUGUGUAUGCCGAACAUUCGAUAAUUGUCUAUUUCUGUACUGACAAAUGGCCAUUUCAAGCCUAUUUUAGGGUAUUUUGACCUGAUUUUUUUUUGUUUUAUAGAAAAAAUACAGCUUAAUGAUAACAAAUAUCUUAACUAACAACUUAAAAUGAAAGGAAAUUAUGAUAAUUCAAAAAGUUGUGAGAUUUCUCAAUACCCCUACUAACAGGUUGAAAUUGCAUGGUUUUGAAAAAGUGCCGAUUCAGCAAAAUUUGUAUAUUUUUAAAGGCUUGAAUCUUGUAAGAUCAUGUUUUAUUUUCAAUAAAAUGUAAUAUUUCAUGAAGCUUAUAUAUUUAUCUACAAAAUGCAAGAAAAUGGUGCUCGGCAAAUGAUACCUUCUUACGAGAAAAUAAUAAUUAAAGAUAGGCGUGAUGGCCAUUUUGCCGAUUUUUUGAUUUUUUUAUCUGUUUCAUUAGAAACUUUUUAAAAGUAUGUAAUAGUCAAAAUAUAAGAAAAAUAAUGACUGAACUAAUGUUUACUGGUUAUAUUAAUUGAAUAAACCAAGUUUAACUUAGUUUAAAU